UACAGAGGUCCCGAGCGUUGUUCGGAUUUAUUGGGCGUAAAGGGUGCGUAGGCGGCGCGGUAAGUCGGGUGUGAAAUCUCGGGGCUUAACUCCGAAACUGCAUUCGAUACUGCCGUGCUUGAGGACUGGAGAGGAGACUGGAAUUUACGGUGUAGCGGUGAAAUGCGUAGAUAUCGUAAGGAAGACCAGUGGCGAAGGCGGGUCUCUGGACAGUUCCUGACGCUGAGGCACGAAGGCCAGGGGAGCAAACGGG
rnacentral:rRNA from 1 species